AUUGAACGCUGGCGGCAUGCCUUACACAUGCGAGUCGAACGGCAGCACGGGGGCAACCCUGGUGGCGAGUGGCGAACGGGUGAGUAAUGCAUCGGAACGUGCCCAGUAGUGGGGGAGUAACUAGUCGAAAGAUUAGCUAAUACCGCAUACGACCUAUGGGUGAAAGCGGGGGAGUUCGCAAGAACCUCGCGCUAUCGGAGCGGCCGAUGUCUGAUUAGCUAGUUGGCGGGGUAAGGGCCCACCAAGGCUUCGAUCAGUAGCUGGUCUGAGAGGACGACCAGCCACACUGGGACUGAGACACGGCCCAGACUCCUACGGGAGGCAGCAGUGGGGAAUUUUGGACAAUGGGCGCAAGCCUGAUCCAGCCAUGCCGCGUGCGGGAAGAAGGCCU
rnacentral:rRNA from 1 species